AGAGUUUGAUCAUGGCUCAGAACGAACGCUGGCGGCAUGCCUAACACAUGCAAGUCGAACGUGAUCCGCAGCUUCGGUUGCGGUGAAAGUGGCAAACGGGUGAGUAACGCGUGGGAACCUGCCCAGAGGUAGGGAAUAACUGCGGGAAACUGCGGCUAAUACCCUAUGUGUCCUGAGGGACAAAGAUUUAUCGCCUUUGGAGGGGCCCGCGUCGGAUUAGGUAGUUGGUGGGGUAACGGCCUACCAAGCCAUCGAUCCGUAGCUGGUCUGAGAGGAUGAUCAGCCACACUGGGACUGAGAUACGGCCCAGACUCCUACGGGAGGCAGCAGUGGGGAAUAUUGGACAAUGGGGGCAACCCUGAUCCAGCAAUGCCGCGUGAGUGAUGAAGGCCUUCGGGUUGUAAAGCUCUUUCGGCGGGGAAGAUGAUAACGGUACCCGCAGAAGAAGCCCCGGCUAACUUCGUGCCAGCAGCCGCGGUAAUACGAAGGGGGCUAGCGUUGUUCGGAAUUACUGGGCGUAAAGGGCGCGUAGGCUGUGCUGUAAGUCAGGCGUGAAAUCCCCGGGCUCAACCUGGGAAUUGCGUUUGAUACUGCGGCGCUGGAAUGCAGGAGAGGAUGGCGGAAUUCCCAGUGUAGAGGUGAAAUUCGUAGAUAUUGGGAAGAACACCGGGCGAAGGCGGCCAUCUGGCCUGUAACUGACGCUGAGGCGCGAAAGCGUGGGGAGCAAACAGGAUUAGAUACCCUAGUAGUCC
rnacentral:rRNA from 1 species